UUAGCGGCGGACGGGUGAGUAACGCGUGGGUAACCUGCCUCAUACGAGGGGGAUAACAGUUAAGAAAUGACUGCUAAUACCGCAUAAGCGCACGGUUUCGCAUGGAACAGUGUGAAAAACUCCGGUGGUAUGGAUGGACCCGCGUCUGAUUAGCUGGUUGGCGGGGUAACGGCCCACCAAAGCGACGAUCAGUAGCCGACCUGAGAGGGUGACCGGCCACAUUGGGACUGAGACACGGCCCAAACUCCUACGGAAGGCAGCAG
rnacentral:rRNA from 1 species